CACACACACACACACACACACACACACAGACACACACACACACACACACACACACAGACACACACACACACACACACACACACACACACACACACAGACACACACACACACACACACACACACACACACACACAGCUGGGCGACCGACACUGUGACAGAGUGAGGAAACUGAGAAAAAGAGAGCGUUUUACGGACGUUAUCAGUUUCCUUCGAACAGACACAACAAGGAAGUUUUAGUAAAUAAAAUAAUAAAUAAAAUAAUCUGCAGCUGGUUAACUUUAUUAUUAAUUAAUGACCAAUGGAAACGUAAUACAGCACCACUGUAUCACAAAUAUAAUACAGCUCCCAACCUUCUCUCUCCGCUUCCCUACAGUGCCAACAGUGUGCAACAGUCAAAGCUAACAUUACUGCUAAGCUAGUGGAACAUAUUGUAUAAUAUUGGAUAAUGUUAGCUUGCUUGCUAACGUGAUGAAUUAUACUAGCUAAUGUCUUCUGACAGUGUUGAUUUUAGCCAACAAUAAAUGAUGUAGCUGCACAAAGCUAACGAUAGCUUUCUACUAGCCAAAAGCGAUGCGAGACAUCAGGCUAGCUUACUGUAGCUAAGCUAAACUGGGAUUGUCCUCCAUGUAGAGUGAAACGUAGCAACCACAUUGCUAACCAACUGUUCUCCUGUAGUGUUGUUCUAACUCUGGUUAGCAGCUCGGUGCAUAUUGUACAGGUCAAUGCUAAUCAGUGGCGUCCGGCAGGGCGAGUCUGCGCGUCUGGAAGCUCUAAAACAUUUAAACCAACCGCUGACGAUCUAAAAACAAGACCGAUUAUUUCUCACCAAAAAUGUUUCCAGAAACACAUUUCAAUGAACAAUUUUCUUAAUUUAAGAGAAAGUUAGAGGAAGAGGAGGACGCAGCAGAGACGGGAGAGGACGAGGUCGGCAACAGAAAGGCAGUUUGAGGCAUUGUCACGCCGUAACGCCCAAAUUCCAUCGACAAAUACACAAACUAACAACGUCAGGCAGGAAAUACGCUCUGAAGCAAUUGGAAGACGUACAGAGCCAAACGCAGCGCAGACUCUUCCUGUUGAUGAAGUCUACGCCCUAAAGUCUCUGUGAAAGAAGUUUCGUAAAGAGUUCAUUGAUCUGAUCCGUUGGCCCGUUACAGACAGAUGGUUCAUCCAAUCCAAUGAGCUGAAACAUGUCUCUGUGUAGUGACUAUCAGUCGACCUGUAAACUGAUAAAUGUUUGUAAUCAAUAGAUGAUGUUGGUCUGAGACAUGAACAGUAUUCAUUAAGAGUCAGAGUCAUUCUUUAAUAAUCCUGGCGGAGACUCGAUGAAAUGUCACGUUGUUGCUCUCUUCCCUCCAUCAUGCUUCUGACUCUGUCUAAUAAUAAAACUGUGGAUGAUGUUUUAUUGAUAACCUCGUCCUGCCUGCUGGGUUCACUGAGGCACAUUUCACUCCCGUCAGCUCCACUUUCUCCACCAGCAGACGCCUGUCACGACUUAUUGUUCUGUUACUGAACAUUAGGAGGCAACCAGUUCAACCUCACAGCUGCAUUAAGGGCAAACAAUCGGUACUAACAGGAAUCUGUGGGAUGUGAAAUGAGGUCGACGUCUGGCAGGAGGCUUUCAGUUAAAACGGAUUAUAAAGGGUGAGAACAGAAACACAUCGCUGAUGUUCCUUUAAUCAAACUUUAACAUAGUUGUACAGAGAAUGUAUCCUUGUAUUGAGAUCCUUGAAUGUAGAUCUUAUUCUUGCAUCUAGAUCCUUGUGUCCAGACCACUGAAUCUAGAGCAUGAUCUGAUAUCCUUGGAUCUAGAUAUCUGGACCACAUCAUUGUACCUGGACUCUUCGUAUCCCUGCAUCUUCAUUGUCACCUUGUUUUUAGAUCCUUAUCUGGAUCUUAACCUUGUAUAGAGAUAGUAUCCUUGUAUCUAGAUCUCAUCUCUGUGUCUAGUUCCUUGUAAAUAGGUCUUACCCUUGUAUUAGGAUCAGAUUCUUGUGUCUAGAUAUUUUAAUCUGGAUCAUAGUCUUGUAUCUGCACGCUGGUAUGAAGAUUGUAUUCUUAUAUCUAGAUCACAUAUAAAAAGGCCUUACCUUUGUACUCUAGAUCUCUUCUAUCUAUCUAGAUCAGACUUCUGUAUCCAGGCCCCUGUAUCUAGAUCCUAUCCUUGUAUCUGGAUGCUGGUAUGAAGAUUGUAUCUUUGUAUCUGGAUCUAUGUAAAUAGGUCUUACCCUUGUAUUUACUGUAGAUCAUCUAUGUAGAUCAUAUCCUUGAUCCUCGAGUCUUGUAUCUGGGUUGUAUCUCUGUCUCUAGUUCCUUUUUAAUCUCUAAUCUAGAAUGCAUUGUACCUAUAUUGGACUAUUGUGUUUGGACUUUUUUAUCUAGAUACUGUAUCUGGGUUGUAUACUACUGUAACAUGAAAAGCUAAAAAUAUUGGAUUUACCAGCUGUUUGUUUCUUAGUAAAAUACUGGCUGCCCCCUGUCUCCAGUGUUUGUGCUAAGCGAGGCUAUCAGUUUCCCCCUGUCUCCAGUGUUUGUGCUAAGCUAGGCUAAACGUGGACCUAUCUCUGUACUGGAUGCACAGAGAUGAAACUGAAGACGAGAGUUUUCAGAAAAUAGUAUUGAGUCCAGCCUUUUGUGCAGUACAGGAGUAUUAUUAUUAGUAUCAUUAUUAUUGUUCAUAUUGUUAUUAAUAGUUAGUAUUAAUAUUACUGUGAAAUGUUAUAUCUUCAGUCUGAGGCUGGAGGAUCAUGAAGGUCAAGUGACUCUGUGCUCCGGUCCUCCUCCGGCUCUCUGUGGGUUUAACAUACAGCUGCUAAGUGCUGCUGUCCGAGGGAAUACACAGAGUGUGAGUGAUUGUUGGGAACCAGUUUUCUCUUCACUGAUGGAUCUUUGAGUGUUGUUCCUUCGCAGCGAAUCAGACCGAGAACAGUUCAGUGUCUAAACAGCGCGGGUUGUUGUUUUGUUGUUUUGCAGUUAUUUUACCUUUCCUGCAACCAAAGUAAACUGCAAUAAGUCGGGUUGGGGGGUCCUUUCUACCUUAUUGAAUCUAGUUUAAUUUACCAGUAACAAAUAUAUUGGAGCAACGUUGGUAUCCGUGGCAAUGUUUGUUUAUCCGCAGAUUGAAUCAUAAGUGAAGACGCGAUCAAUAAUCUGAUCACAUGCGUCUUCCAGCUCCACAACUCCAAUUUACAUUAUUUUAUGUAUUUUAUAACCCCGCCCCCUUCUUAAUGACAGACAGUCAGUGAGUGUGUGUCUGUGUCCAACUCUUCCUCACAGGUUAGUUAAUGACAGACAGUCAGUGAGUGUGUCUGUGUCCAACUCUUCCUCACAGGUUAGUUAAUGACAGACAGUCAGUGAGUGUGUCUGUGUCCAACUCUUCCUCACAGGUUAGUUAAUGACAGACAGUCAGUGAGUGUGUCUGUGUCCAACUCUUCCUCACAGGUUAGUUAAUGAUGUUACUGAGUCAAUGUGAGCAGAUUGUGUCUGUAGAUUGAAGAGAAUCAGAGUCUCUCUGAUGGUGGAAAUAAAGGUUUUACUUCCUUAAAA